GUGGGCGCAAGCCUGAUCUAGGGAUGCCGUGUGGGUGAAGAAGGCCGUAGGGUCGUAAAGCUCUUUCGCCAGGGAUGAUAAUGACAUUACGUGGUAAAGAAGUUCCGGCUAAAUCCGUGCCAGCAGCCGCGGUAAUACGGAGGGAACUAGCGUUGUUCGGAAUUACUGGGCGUAAAGCGCACGUAGGCGGAUCAGAAAGUAAGAGGUGAAAUCCCAGGGCUCAACCCUGGAACUGCCUUUUAAACUCCUAGUCUUGAGUUCGAGAGAGGUGAGUGGAAUUCCAAGUGUAGAGGUGAAAUUCGUAGAUAUUUGGAGGAACACCAGUGGCGAAGGCGGCUCACUGGCUCGAUACUGACGCUGAGGUGCGAAAGCGUGGGGAGCGAACAGGAUUAGAUACCCUGGUAGUCCACGCCGUA
rnacentral:rRNA from 1 species